UACGGGGGGGGUAAGCGUUGUUCGGAAUUACUGGGCGUAAAGGGCUCGUAGGCGGCCAACUAAGUCAUACGUGAAAUCCCUCAGCUUAACUGGGGAACUGCGUGUGAUACUGGAUGGCUUGGAUUUGGGAGAGGGAUGCGGAAUUCCGAGUGUAGAGGUGAAAUUCGUAGAUAUUCGGAAGAACACCAGUGGCGAAGGCGGCUCACUGGACCGGCAUUGACGCUGAGGCGCGAAAGCGUGGGGAGCGAACGGG
rnacentral:rRNA from 1 species